CCUACGGGGGGCAGCAGUAGGGAAUCUUGCACAAUGGACGAAAGUCUGAUGGAGCAACGCCGCGUGAGUGAAGAAGGGCUUCGGCUCGUAAAGCUCUGUUGGUAGUGAAGAAAGAUAGAGGUAGUAACCGGCCUUUAUUUGACGGUAAUUACUAAGAAAGUCACGGCUAACUCCGUGCCAGCAGCCGCGGUAAUACGUAGGUGGCAAGCGUUGUCCGGAUUUAUUGGGCGUAAAGGGAGUGUAGGCGGUUCAAUAAGUCUGAUGUGAAAGCUUUCGGCUCAACCGGAGAAUUGCAUCAGAUACUGGUGAUCUUGAGUGCAGAAGAGGUAGGUGGAACUCCAUGUGUAGCGGUGAAAUGCGUAGAUAUAAUGAAGAACACCGAUGGCGAAGGCAGCUUUCUGGUCUGUAACUGACGCUGAGGCUCGAAAGCAUGGGUAGCAAACAGGAUUAGAUACCCUGGUAGUC
rnacentral:rRNA from 1 species